rnacentral:rRNA from 1 species
UACAGAGGGUGCAAGCGUUAAUCGGAGUUACUGGGCGUAAAGGGCGCGUAGGCGGUUAUUUAAGUUGGAUGUGAAAUCCCUGGGCUUAACCUAGGAACUGCAUUCGAUACUGAAUAACUGGAGUACUGUAGAGGGUAGUGGAAUUUCCGGUGUAGCGGUGAAAUGCGUAGAGAUCGGAAGGAACACCAGUGGCGAAGGCGGCUACCUGGACAGAUACUGACGCUCAGGCACGAAAGCGUGGGGAGCAAACAGG